rnacentral:rRNA from 1 species
UACGUAGGGGGCAAGCGUUGUCCGGAAUCAUUGGGCGUAAAGAGCUCGUAGGCGGUUUGUCGCGUCGGCCGUGAAAACUUGGGGCUUAACCCCAAGCCUGCGGUCGAUACGGGCAGACUUGAGUUCGGCAGGGGAGAGCUGGAAUUCCUGGUGUAGCGGUGAAAUGCGCAGAUAUCAGGAGGAACACCAGUGGCGAAGGC